UACGUAGGGUGCGAGCGUUAAUCGGAAUUACUGGGCGUAAAGCGUGCGCAGGCGGUUCGUUAUGUCCGAUGUGAAAGCCCCGAGCUCAACUUGGGAAUGGCAUUGGAAACUGGCGGGCUGGAGUGUGGCAGAGGGGGGUGGAAUUCCACGUGUAGCAGUGAAAUGCGUAGAUAUCGGGAGGAACACCUGUGGCGAAAGCGGCGCACUGGACCACAACUGACGCUGAGGCGCGAAGGCGUGGGGAGCGAACGGG
rnacentral:rRNA from 1 species